AACAAUAUGGUACUUCCAACUUCAUCAGGUAUUUAAGCUCCAAAAUUACAUAACAUAAACAGCAAAGUCAGAUUUACACACUCCAAUUGCAAAUUGGAGUUGCCUUUACCUCUUCCCCACCUCUCAAACUGAAUGGAUCAUUGAUGACAUCAUGAGGAGCUUAAUUUUUGAAGCUUAGAUUUGAGCAUGUCCAAUUGUUCUGUCCAAAAUAAACCAGAUAAAAGAAGAUGAAGAUAAAAUAUUAAAAAGUCAUUAGUCAAAAACAGCUUGAAUGCAGGUACAGCGAGAGAAUAUUUUACUUUGUUCUGAUGCUGUUGCUUUCUGCACAGUUGUACGGAAUAAUAUGUUGCCAUUUCUCUGGUAGACCGUCUGGUGAUGAAGUAAAAAAGCACAUCCUCAUAAAUUAAUGAAACUUGUACAAUAUUACAAAGAUAAAUCUACAUUUAUACCUUAUCUAUCAUCCAUGCACAAACUGCUUAUUUAAUUGGACAAUAAAACAAAAUAGAUCAAGGAAGCACUAAGUUCAACUUGUGAAAACAGAAUGAAUCAAGGUAUUAAGAAUCUUAAACUUAUUUAAUUGUUUCAUACCACCAUGGUAC
rnacentral:lncRNA from 1 species